UACAGAACGUCGCGCCAUGCUGUCGUGCAUUUUUUGGACAGAAGUUAUAGAACGUCACCUUUACACUUGUCAGAAUCUCGGGGAGCACAGAAGAAAUCCAUCAGGACAUGGCCACUUUCCCAGUCCUCACCACGGGAGGCGCGGGCGUCUGCAGCCAGGUUUCCCUGCACCCUGGCCCCGAGGAACACAAGCGAGUCUGUGCACUCGAGGCCGAGUUCCCUGUGCCAAGAUACGUGUCCUUUACAAACCCUUCUCAAUGGCAGAUUCCGCAGGGCACUGGUUAACAGACAGAACAAUCUGACAGCUGUCAGAGUUAGAAAAUGAACCAAACCGAGAGGAAGACACAGAUGGGGUUUGUGGCUUUAUUUAGAAACAAACAGCGUGCACACGAGCCGUCUACUCGUUUUCUUCACUGCGCAGCCUGGCGUUGGGAUUGGUGACUCUGAUGGCCAGCUGGGCUGCCCGUUCCACGAUGGCCUUGCGGUUCUUGGAGGAGACGUUGU